UACGGAGGGUGCAAGCGUUGUCCGGAUUUAUUGGGUUUAAAGGGUGCGUAGGUGGCCCGUUAAGUCCGGGGUGAAAGCCCACUGCUCAACAGUGGAACUGCCCUGGAUACUGACGGGCUUGAGUCCAGACGAGGUUGGCGGAAUGGAUGGUGUAGCGGUGAAAUGCAUAGAUACCAUCCAGAACCCCGAUUGCGUAGGCAGCUGACUAGGCUGGUACUGACACUGAGGCACGAAAGCGUGGGGAGCGAACAGG
rnacentral:rRNA from 2 species